GCGGAAGUGGUGGAAUUGGUAGACACGCCAGCUUGAGGGGCUGGUGGCCUCACGGCCGUGCGGGUUCAAGUCCCGCUUUCCGCACCA
rnacentral:tRNA from 1 species